UCCCUAUGGGGUGCAGCAGGCGCGAAAACUUUACAAUGCGGGAAACCGCGAUAAGGGGAUACUGAGUGCCAGCAUCUUAUGUUGGCUGUCCACCUGUAUAAACAGCAGGUGUUAGCAAGGGCCGGGCAAGACCGGUGCCAGCCGCCGCGGUAACACCGGCGGCCCGAGUGGUGACCACUAUUAUUGGGUCUAAAGGGUCCGUAGCCGGUUUGAUCAGUCUUCCGGGAAAUCUGACAGCUCAACUGUUAGGCUUCCGGGGGAUACUGUCAGACUUGGGACCGGGAGAGGUAAGAGGUACUACAGGGGUAGGAGUGAAAUCUUGUAAUCCUUGUGGGACCACCAGUGGCGAAGGCGUCUUACCAGAACGGGUCCGACGGUGAGGGACGAAAGCUGGGGGCACGAACCGGAUUAGAUACCCGGGUAGUCCCAGCUGUAAACGAUGCUCGCUAGGUGUCUGGGACGGUGCGACCGUUUCAGGUGCCGCAGGGAAGCCGUGAAGCGAGCCACCUGGGAAGUACGGCCGCAAGGCUGAAACUUAAAGGAAUUGGCGGGGGAGCACUACAACGGGUGGAGCCUGCGGUUUAAUUGGAUUCAACGCCGGA
rnacentral:rRNA from 1 species